GUUUGAACAGACAUCAAAACUGGAGGACAACAUGGCCAUUGAAGCAGCAUGGCAGCGCUUGAAUCCUUCCCUGCACUCUGGUACAGAGAAAAUUAAGUGUAGAGCCAUGGGACCUGGAGCUGGUGACUUGCAGCUAGACAUGGGCAACGCUGGGUGCCUGCCUUUGAUUGAGGUGCCCAAGACCUGGCCCUGAUCCAACAAAGCCAACAACUGCAUCUUCCCCUUCCAACUGCUCAAAUGACAAAGCCCAGCAAAUAACCAGGGCCUGUGAGUCCAUUUGUGCCUUACUACCAGGAACCAUUUAUUCCAUGUAUUUUGUACAAAUCCAGUAAGGCAGGUAAACAUCCAGGCCAGAAAUUAAUGCCCCAAACUGGCUACAAAUCUGGACUCCAGACUCGGUCGCACCUACAUCCAGGCUUCAACUACUGGUAAAAAUCUGUGCCAUAAUAACUCCAAAGGUUCUGUCCUACUACUGGGCAACAAUAAAAUGGUUUAACCUUAA